CGGGAAAACAUUGCUCAACCACAUUAUUUAAUUGAUUCGAUAAACUGGGGUUAUGCAAAUCAACAGGAGGGGCUGUAAGAGUUGAGAAAUUUUCCCUCAUGCUACAAUCAACAAAACCAAAGAGCUGUAUUUUGGACAUUUUUUUAUACGGGACUGGGACUGAGAGAGAGAAAAGCUGUGGUCAGUUUUAACAAGGGAUGUCACAAUCAGUGGGGCCCAAGAUGGCCGCGGGACCUCGUGACCAGCCACAAAAGUGAAACCCCACAGCCCAGUCUCUGGGUUUCUGCAAAGUCACGGCCUGAACAAUAGAUGGAUAUUGGCCAUGCAGAAACCCCCGAAACCAGGUCGAAGUCCAGACACUGGGGCGCUGACAUCAGCAGGCAUCACAAUGCCCCAAGCCGACCUACAUAGUUAAUCUCGUUAAGGGAGCACUAUAGCCCAUAGAAAUCUACCUGGCCAGUGAUGGGAAAAGCAGUUAAACCCAUCACCUCUUAUCGAGAAACAAAUUAACAGACCGUCUAGCCAUCACCGGUACUCCCGGACAUAACGCAGAACAUAGAGAGAGCUCGAAACCCAUCUUGUAAGCAAAGAGAUCCCGAGAUCUGGCGGGAGAUAGGACGGGUCAGGAUUAGAAUAACUGGCCACGAUUUUUGGGUUUAAGAAAGGAAAAAGGAGGGAGACACAGAAGGAAUCACUGAACGAAUCUGGAGACUUGCGGAGAGAGAGAGAGGACACAGGACAGUGCUUAAAAAGUACACGGUGUCUAGUGUGUCGCACACUCCGGCUGGAGUCCCCGCCACGUGGAAAUAAAAGGAAAGCAGUAGGACCCCUUGGCGAGGUGAACCCCCGGGACCACCCGAAAGACCGAGACGACCGCCGACGACCCUUCCACAGCCACCUAAUCGGAGGAAGCAGCACGACCAGCCAGUAACCUCAGUAAUCGCCCCAUGGUCUUCAAAUCUGAUCUGGUUGAACCAGUGUGCGCGGCCUGGUCGAGGGACCAGAGCAAACCACAGGGACCUUAGGUCGGGCGAAAGCUCGACGCAGAAAACCCUUACAGAUGAUGAUGUUCAGAAUAACAUCUGUGUUCCAAUUGGAUCGUGAUGAGGCCAACAACAGCAGAAGACAAUAUCAGCGGGACAAAGAAGCAUGUUCAAACAUAUUGUGAUAUCCAUGGAGUAAACAGCCAUAAUUUGUAACAGAUCAAGAUAAAAUUCCUCUUGCUUUUGAAACUGUUAUCUUCUUUGAAGAUACAGUGCCCUCCACCAUGUUUGGGACAAAGAUCCAUCAUCUAUUUAUUUGCCACUUUACUCCACAAUUUGCGAUUUGUAAUAGAAAAAAAUUACUUGUGGUUAAAGUGCCAGAUUUUAUUUGAGGGUAUUUUUAUACAUUUUGGUUUCACCAUGUAGAAAUUACAGCUGUGUUUAUACAUAGUCCCCCCAUUUCAGGGCACCAUAAUGUUUGGAACACAUGGCUUCACAGGCAUUUGUAAUUGCUCAGGUGUAUUUAAACACCUCCUUAAUGCAGGUAUAAAAGAGCUCGCAGCACCUAGUCUUUCCUCCAGUCUUUUCAUCACCUUUGGAAACUUGUAUUGCUGUUUAUCAACAUGAGGACAAAAGUUGUGCCAAUGAAAGUCAAAUAAGCCAUUAUUAGACUGAGAAACAAGAAUAAAACUGUUAGAGACACCAGUCAAACCUCAGGCUUACCAAAAUCAACUGUUUGGAACAUCAUUAAGAAGAAAGAGAGCAUUGGUGAGCUUACAAAUCGCAAAGGGACAGGCGGGCCAAAGACCUCCACAGCUGAUGACAGAAGAAUUCUCUCUAUAAUAAAGAAAAAUCCCCAAACACCUGCCCGACAGAUCAGAAACGCGCUUCAGGAAUCAGGUGUGGAUUUGUCAAUGACCACUUUCCGCAACAGACUUCAUGAACAGAAAUACAAAGGUUAUACUGCAAGAGGCAAAUAAACAAACGAUGAGUCUUUGUCUCAAACAUUUGGAGGGCACUGCACCUAUUGCAGCAUGCUAGGCUCUGUCACUAUUUUUUGUAGGCAAAAUCUGAUUCAAUUCAUAUAUUUUCUAGACAAAGCUCCUUUAAAAUAAUUCAUGAACCAGCUAUAGAUACAUUUUGCACAGAUUGUUUGCCCUUUCACUUUUGCCAUUAUUUUGUUGGCUCUUUUAAAUACAUCCAAAUGGCUAUAAAUUCGUGUUCAUAAGUCAUAGGAUCAGAAUUAGGCCAUUCGCCCCAUUCUACCCCAUUCGAUCAUGGCUGAUCUACCUUUCCCUAUCAAACCAAUUCUCCUGCCUUCUCACCAUAACCUUUGACAUCCUUACUAAUCGCAAACCUGUCAAUCUCCAUUUUAAUAAUACCCAAUGACUUGGCCUCCACCGCUGUCUGUGGCAAUUAAUUCUGUAGAUUCACCACUCUCUGACUAAAGCAUAAAGUUACAGUCACAUUGAUAGUGUUUCACGCUCACAAAUACACGUUAUAGGAGAGAAUUAGGUCAUUUGGCCCAUCGAGUCUACUCCACCAUUCAAUCGUGGCUGAUCUCUGCCUCCCAAUCCCAUUUUCCUGCCUUCUCCCAUAACCCUUGACACCCGUUCUAAUCAAGAAUUUGUCUAUCUCUGCCUUAAAAAUAUCUACUGAGGGCCUCCACAGCCCUCAGUGACAAUGAGUUCCAUAAAUUAACUGCCCUCUGACUAACAAAGUUCCUCCUCACCUCCUUUCAAAAAGAGCACCCUUUAAUUCUGAGGCUAUGACCUCUGGUCCUAGACUCUCCCACCAGCGGAAACAUCCUUUCCACAACUACUCCAUCUAUGCCUUUCAUUGUUCUGUAAGUUUCAAUGAGGUUCCCCCCUUAACCUUUUUAACACCAGCGAGUAGAGGCCCAGUGCUGUCAAGCACUCAUCAAACCCAUUCAUUCCUGGAAUCAUUCUUGUACACCUCCUCUGGACCCACUCCAGAGCCAGCACAUCCUUCCUCAGACACGGGGUCCAAAUUUACUCAGAGUACUCCAAAUGUGGCCUGACCAGCGCCUUUUAGAGCCUCAGCAUUACAUCUCUGCUUUUGUAUUCCAGUCCUCUUGAUAUAAAUGCUAGCAUUAAAUUUGCCCUCCUUACUACCUUUUCCUGGCAUUGAUCACCAGUCUGUAGUUGAAACAUGUCCCUAUAAGAUAAUAGCAGUCGUAGUAGAACACUAUUUCCCUGACAUGCCAAAGUCUACUACUCCCACGUUGACCUAAUGAGCCACGUCAGGAAGCACGAUCUCUGAGUGGAUGCAUGCCAUUCUCAAUUCUUGGAACUACCGAGGAGGAAGAAGACUGAAGUGCUAGCUCGCAGCAAAAAUUGUUCAUAAGUUCAUAUCUUCACAAGCUAUUGGAGUGGAAAUAGGCUAUUCGGCCAAUUGAGUCUGCAUCGCCAGUAAAUCGUGGCAGGUCUAUCCUUACCUCUCAACCCCAUUCCCCUGCCUUCUCCCCACAACCUUUGACACCCUUACUAAUCAAAAACCUGUUAAUCUCCACUUUAAA